UUUCCGUAGGGGUGACCUGCGGAGGGAUCAUUACUGAGUUUACGCUCUACAACCCUUUGUGAACAUACCUAUAACUGUUGCUUCGGCGGGUAGGGUCUCCGUGACCCUCCCGGCCCCCCGCCCCCGGGCGGGUCGGCGCCCGCCGGAGGAUAACCAAACUCUGAUUUAACAACGUUUCUUCUGAGUGGUACAAGCAAAUAAUCAAAACUUUUAACAACGGAUCUCUUGGUUCUGGCAUCGAUGAAGAACGCAGCGAAAUGCGAUAAGUAAUGUGAAUUGCAGAAUUCAGUGAAUCAUCGAAUCUUUGAACGCACAUUGCGCCCGCCAGCAUUCUGGCGGGCAUGCCUGUUCGAGCGUCAUUUCAACCCUCAAGCUCUGCUUGGUGUUGGGGCCCUACAGCUGAUGUAGGCCCUCAAAGGUAGUGGCGGACCCUCCCGGAGCCUCCUUUGCGUAGUAACUUUACGUCUCGCACUGGGAUCCGGAGGGACUCUUGCCGUAAAACCCCCCAAUUUUCCAAAGGUUGACCUCGGAUCAGGUAGGAAUACCCGCUGAACUUAAGCAUAUCAAUAAGGCGGAGAGAAGGUG
rnacentral:rRNA from 1 species